ACAGUACAUGGUUCUCCCGCUUCGGUUCCCUUUUCAAGACAAGAGGGUUGUCAGAGCACCAGAGACUGGAAUACCUCUGUGCGUCCCCCCGGCUGCUCCUGCUCUUCCAGCCUGACGAAAAGAGGCUGGUGUGGAAGCGAUGGUCUUAGACACAUUUGCUGGGACAACAGGAGGCAGAACUGGGGCCGAGAUGUAUGGUGCUCUGUGGAGAGCCCCAUCGACUUGGGAGCUGGUGUGGAGUCCCUAAUCCUACCGCUUCGAGGCAGCCUGGACCCGGGAGGACAGCCUGGGCGCGGGAGGACAGCCUGGACCGGGGAGGACAGCCUGGACCGGGGAGGGAGCACAGCCUGGGCGCGGGAGGGAGCACAGCCUGGGCCCGGGAGGACAGCCUGGGCACGGGAGGGAGCACAGCCUGGGCCCGGGAGGACAGCCUGGGCGCAGGUCUCCAUGGGUGCGGUCUCCGAGGCUGGCUCCUCCGGGCACGGCGCCUGGUCAGCUAAGCCUGUUCUGCUCCAGGUCUGGGGACCCUGGAAAGUAUCACUAAGGGCAGGGGCUGUGGGGCUGGAGGGGGACCAAGUGAUGGAGAAGGAUUGCGGGAAUCAUACCUCACAAUGACUUCUCGAAUUGACAAAUGGCUCAAAUUCAUGUCAGAGCUUUUCCAGAUGUCACUUUUGUGUUUGCCCAUACUUUUUGCUCCUCCCCAAUGUCAUCGCACGGAAAGACUUCUUUUCUGUCUGAAUACACUUAAUGGUGCCAUGAAGACUACUGCAGCGCAUAGUAAAUAUUUGAUGAUGAUGAAGAAAAGGUGCUUUUGUCUAAAUACGUGUGUGCCUUUGCCACACCUCCCAUUACCUCCAGGGUUUUACGGAGCCUGUUCGUUUAGCUAUCUGCAUGGCUGUGGAAAGGGGCGAGCCAGGCCCCAGCGGGUUGGAAAGGCUUCCUGAGUCUCUAUUUCACUGAGAAGAGA